GAUGAACGCUGGCGGCGUGCCUAAUACAUGCAAGUCGAGCGAACGGACGAGAAGCUUGCUUGUCUGAUGUUAGCGGCGGACGGGUGAGUAACACGUGGAUAACCUACCUAUAAGACUGGGAUAACUUCGGGAAACCGGAGCUAAUACCGGAUGAUAUUUUGAACCGCAUGGUUCAACAGUGAAAGACGGUCUUGCUGUCACUUAUAGAUGGAUCCGCGCUGCAUUAGCUAGUUGGUAAGGUAACGGCUUACCAAGGCAACGAUGCAUAGCCGACCUGAGAGGGUGAUCGGCCACACUGGAACUGAGACACGGUCCAGACUCCUACGGGAGGCAGCAGUAGGGAAUCUUCCGCAAUGGGCGAAAGCCUGACGGAGCAACGCCGCGUGAGUGAUGAAGGUCUUCGGAUCGUAAAACUCUGUUAUUAGGGAAGAACAUAUGUGUAAGUAACUGUGCACAUCUUGACGGUACCUAAUCAGAAAGCCACGGCUAACUACGUG
rnacentral:rRNA from 1 species